rnacentral:pre_miRNA from 11 species
AACCGCACGGAAAGUUCCAUCUUCCCGUGCGGUCGUGUUAAGUGGACCGCAUGGGAUAAUCGAUUAUCCCGUGCGGUC